AGUCGAACGAUGAGAGGGAGCUUGCUCCCUGGAUUAGUGGCGAACGGGUGAGUAACACGUGAGUAACCUGCCCUUGACUCUGGGAUAAGCACUGGAAACGGUGUCUAAUACCGGAUACGAACUUCAGCCGCAUGGCUAGGAGUUGGAAAGAAUUUCGGUCAAGGAUGGACUCGCGGCCUAUCAGCUAGUUGGUGAGGUAAUGGCCCACCAAGGCGACGACGGGUAGCCGGCCUGAGAGGGUGACCGGCCACACUGGGACUGAGACACGGCCCAGACUCCUACGGGAGGCAGCAGUGGGGAAUAUUGCACAAUGGGCGCAAGCCUGAUGCAGCAACGCCGCGUGAGGGACGACGGCCUUCGGGUUGUAAACCUCUUUUAGUAGGGAAGAAGCAAAGUGUUUUACAUGGAGUGACGGUACCUGCAGAAAAAGCACCGGCUAACUACGUGCCAGCAGCCGCGGUAAUACGUAGGGUGCAAGCGUUGUCCGGAAUUAUUGGGCGUAAAGAGCUCGUAGGCGGUUUGUCGCGUCUGCUGUGAAAACCCGAGGCUCAACCUCGGGCCUGCAGUGGGUACGGGCAGACUAGAGUGCGGUAGGGGAGAUUGGAAUUCCUGGUGUAGCGGUGGAAUGCGCAGAUAUCAGGAGGAACACCAAUGGCGAAGGCAGAUCUCUGGGCCGUAACUGACGCUGAGGAGCGAAAGCAUGGGGAGC
rnacentral:rRNA from 1 species